UUUUUUUUUGUACACCCUUAUGAAAUAUAUUAUAACAAUACAUAUUUUUAUAACUAAGACUAAUGCUUAUAAUAUGUAUAUUCCUCACAGAUGUUUCAAUUAUAUGUACGAAAUAACCGUUGAUAAAGCUUUUCUCAAUAAUAAACAAGUACUGCAACAAAUUGUACAUUAAUAGUUUGAUAUCACCACGACUGUUAUCGUGGAAGUUUCACUUCUAUGAUCUGUGCUUGCAUAGAAUUGUUUUUUUUUUUUUUACAUAUUUGGAUAGAGUAUUUUUUUCUAAACAAUUUAUGUAUAAAGUUUUUUUUAAUUACAAAAUUUGCAUAUGAAAUUUAUCGAUGAACUUCAAUAUUUACAUUACUUACAUUUAAUAUUUAGUGUGUACAAUUUUAUAGUUUUCAAAUUAGCUAUCUUAUUUCAGAAUAACGAAUGAGAAAAAUGACAGUAAAUUACGAUAGAAAAGUGUUUAUUUAUAUUUUAUCUGUGUGUAAACAGGUAUUUCCUAACUGGAUACUAAUAAGUAACAAUAAGUUGAAUUUAGUUUAAAUUUCAUCAAAAUCAAAUUACUCAUAAAUAUUAAAAUUCAUCAUAUAGAGUAUGUAAGUUGUCAAUAAAUGAAUUUCCCCACUACCGACGCCUUCCCACUAAUGACCCAUCCGUUUUUAAUCCUACUCUUAAAAUAUCCUGUUGCACUUGUAUUUUAUUAUUAUUUGUUCGACAGUGAACCUUACAUGUCACCGUAGUUGUCGUCGCUCGCUCAUGCUCCGGAGACUACGGUAGGAUACAAUACUGCAAGGUAUUUAUUAUUAUUAUUAACCAUUAUGUCCCUAAUGUCUAAUGUAAUUGUUAUGAUCUCAUUUGUUUCAUGAUUUGACUGUUAUUAAAAAAAAAAAAUGUUAUUCUACCUAUUGUUAUACUUAUGUUAACCAUGCUGUUUUUUUUAUUAUGAUUAUUACUUAUGAUAUGUUCCCCAUAAUUUUGUUAACUUAUGGUAUGACAGAGCCACCAUAUCUAGCUCAAACGGUCGAUUCAUUGUUCAGCUUGCUUCAACUUCCACUACUUUCACUCUCAGCUGUUCACCAUCGUUCCAGGCGUUCUUCUGGAUAACCAGCAACCUGUUAAUUCACAAAGUAUAGGUUGUCAAUGAUGUAGACUGCAGAAAUCCCUUCCGCCGUUGCAAUGAUCUGCAUGGGGGGGGGAUUGUUCAGGCUUUUCUGCCAUUUAAAAUUGCCCGCCCUCUACAACUGGAUGCGAAACUGAUUAACCAACCACCUCUACUUGCGAGGUUGGUCACACUAGCUAUCGCGUCAGCGUCCAUUACCGGAAGCGGCACGCGGACACCGUUCGCUCUCAUGCUCGUCAUCUUCCUGACUGUACACACUUGUUACGUACUGCACGAAUAUUCAUGAAAACCGUCAUCUUGAUGACCAUAUGGUCAAUGCGACCCAGCUUUACGCCCGCUCCGAUUACAACCCUAAGUUUGCCCCGACUACAAGAAUUGCUCACUUGUUCCGCUCUACGUCUGCUCCGACCACAAGUAUUGCUCACUUGACCCUACGUCCGCUCCGACAUCGUUGAACCUGAUCAAGCACGAGGACCACUCCAGCAGCUGCGAUCGACUCUGUCCUCGAGUUAAACUCGAAUCCGGUAGACGGAGUGUGCGCGAGUCGACGCCAACUACUUGUUAAAAACGUUAUUCCCCAACAAUAGUUGACCUUCGCCAAAAUAAUGAUACUCGGCCUGUUAUCUAUUUAGAUAAAACGUUGGUUAACCAGAAUCACACAAAAGGGUACAUUUGGCAAAAUUAAUUUAAUUCAGAAGGGCAUAAAGUACCUACAGGAAAAGGUAGUAGAUCAAUUACUUUCCACGCAGGAUCUAGUUUAUUUGGAUUUAUACCUGUGUUAUGAGCUACCAUUUAUGACAUAACCAUGUAUAAAUAGAAAUUGUACGUAACAACUUUAUAUGAAUUGUGUAAGACAGCAGGUUGUUAUAUUUAGAACAAAGUCGUAGGUCAAUCUAUAUUAUAUAUUAAAUAAGUCCUAUAACGUCAAUCGAGCAAUAAAAAAGAGGAAACGAAAUGACCAAAAUUCAGAUGAGUUCUAGUCACGGAGCUGCAAACAACUUCAUGUCACUCUAUGUUAAAAUUUGUUAAAUACUGAAUAUUAAAAUAAAUGUAUAAAAGUUAAAGUCUCAUAUUUUAUUAAUUAAAUUUAAAUACAUCAUCGACUGCAUUACUUGGAAUCAAGCCGGUGGAACGUAACAAUUGGCGCUGUGGACAGGUUUCUUCAAAAAGAAAAUAUUUAUAUUAUUUUUUCAUAAAAAUAUAUAAUAUUUUUCCACGGAGGCAGUUCAAUUCAUUCGAAUCACCGUGAAAAGAAACUGAUCACUUUUUCUCCAACUUCGAAGAAAAAAUAUACACUCCAUUGUGCAACAUUUCAAGUCAAACAGUCAACGAUGUCUUUUGGAUCGUCUAACUCCGCCUUGUUCUUAUACAACUAUUUACUGAUUCAAAAAGUGCAAAUGAAGGUGCAACUGCUGAGAAGAUAUUUGAUGAACUUCUUAAAGCUUUUAACGAAUCAGAAAUUCCAUUGGAUAACAUAAUUGGAUUUGCAUCUGAUGGUUGUAACUGUUAUGGGCUACCACAUAUUCUUAGAACCAUGUAUAAAUAGAAUUGUGCAUAACACAAUAUUACACACCUAUCUAUUUUUAACUCAAGUUCUAUUAAGAAAUAUAUUCAUGUAAAGUCUCUACAAUAAAGAAAAGAAAUUGCUAAUGAAAUUAAAUUCAAACUUAUUUCACUAAAAAUUGAUGCUAUUACUCGUUUGAAUAAAGGGUUCUUGGGAAUAAAUAUACAAAAAAAUAUAGAAAAUAAUUGUAUUCAACUUAGAACGCUUGGACUCAUUGAAUUAAUUGAAACUCACACAGAGUUAAAAAAAGAUGGAACAUGUUCUACCAUUGAUUUGAAAAACCAACAUAUCAAUUCAAGGCCAACGAAUGAUAUAGUAAAUCUUCCUAAUGAAGUUGAAAGGUACCUCAUGAGUCAAGGUAAUAAUGAUGAUAAAUCUUCAUCUAAUUUAGUAAAUUCAGCAAAUACUCAAAAUAUAGAAACAAAAAUUGAAUUACUAUUAAAAUCAUUUCACAUUGAAGAAAAAAGAUUGAAUCGGUAAAAACAUCAAGGUUCCAGGUUGUAAAACUUGUGAACGAAGCGUUGGAUGUCGUGACUGUGGAUAGUUGAAAAUGGAGCUUAAGUCAUUGUGAAGAAUUACAAGAUGAAGAUUUUAUAAUGGAAGGUUUAUGUGAUGAAAUUUUGGAGCCAGUAUAACCAUUAUAAUGACCAUUCGUCCUGACGAAGAUUCCGACAAAAGAUAAAGAUAACAUCAAUUUCUAAAAAAAAAAAAAUUGUAAUUAAUUAAAUGUUGUAUUAUUAUUAUGUAUAUACUUUUAAUGUUAUAUUAGUUAAUUGUAUUUAUCACAUGAUAGUGAUAAUGUCUGUUAUGCAUUGGAAAUUUGAUAAAAUUACCGAAAGUUUAUUUUUGAUCGAGUUAUCAUUAGAUAAUUGUUGUGCAUUUUGAAUAAACUUUGCAUCGUUUGGGUCAAAUGCAAGGGCAUAUUUGAGGUGGGUGAAGAGGGAAUUUUCCCUAAUGUAAUAUAUAAAUAAUUAAGAAUAUAAAU